rnacentral:rRNA from 1 species
CAGUCGAGCGGGGAAAGGUAGCUUGCUACUGGACCUAGCGGCGGACGGGUGAGUAAUGCUUAGGAAUCUGCCUAUUGGUGGGGGACAACAUCUCGAAAGGGAUGCUAAUACCGCAUACGUCCUACGGGAGAAAGCAGGGGAUCUUCGGACCUUGCGCUAAUAGAUGAGCCUAAGUCGGAUUAGCUAGUUGGUGGGGUAAAGGCCUACCAAGGCGACGAUCUGUAGCGGGUCUGAGAGGAUGAUCCGCCACACUGGGACUGAGACACGGCCCAGACUCCUACGGGAGGCAGCAGUGGGGAAUAUUGGACAAUGGGCGCAAGCCUGAUCCAGCCAUGCCGCGUGUGUGAAGAAGGCCUUAUGGUUGUAAAGCACUUUAAGCGAGGAGGAGGCUACUUUAGAUAAUACCUAGAGAUAGUGGACGUUACUCGCAGAAUAAGCACCGGCUAACUCUGUGCCAGCAGCCGCGGUAAUACAGAGGGUGCAAGCGUUAAUCGGAUUUACUGGGCGUAAAGCGCGCGUAGGCGGCUAAUUAAGUCAAAUGUGAAAUCCCCGAGCUUAACUUGGGAAUUGCAUUCGAUACUGGUUAGCUAGAGUGUGGGAGAGGAUGGUAGAAUUCCAGGUGUAGCGGUGAAAUGCGUAGAGAUCUGGAGGAAUACCGAUGGCGAAGGCAGCCAUCUGGCCUAACACUGACGCUGAGGUGCGAAAGCAUGGGGAGCAAACAGGAUUAGAUACCCUGGUAGUCCAUGCCGUAAACGAUGUCUACUAGCCGUUGGGGCCUUUGAGGCUUUAGUGGCGCAGCU